GAGGGUAUAGCUCAGUGGUAGAGCGUAUGCUUAGCAUGCACGGGGUCCUCGGUGUGAUUCCCAGUACCUUCG
rnacentral:tRNA from 1 species